rnacentral:rRNA from 1 species
GAUGAACGCUGGCGGCGUGCCUAAUACAUGCAAGUCGAGCGAACAGAUGAGGAGCUUGCUCCUCUGACGUUAGCGGCGGACGGGUGAGUAACACGUGGAUAACCUACCUAUAAGACUGGGAUAACUUCGGGAAACCGGAGCUAAUACCGGAUAAUAUAUUGAACCGCAUGGUUCAAUAGUGAAAGACGGUUUUGCUGUCACUUAUAGAUGGAUCCGCGCCGCAUUAGCUAGUUGGUAAGGUAACGGCUUACCAAGGCAACGAUGCGUAGCCGACCUGAGAGGGUGACCGGCCACACUGGAACUGAGACCCGGUCCCGACUCCUCCGGGAGGCAGCAGUAGGGAAUCUUCCGCAAUGGGCGAAAGCCUGACGGAGCAACGCCGCGUGGGUGAUGAAGGUCUUCGGAUCGUAAAACUCUGUUAUUAGGGAAGAACAAAUGUGUAAGUAACUAUGCACGUCUUGACGGUACCUAAUCAGAAAGCCACGGCUAACUACGUG